UACGUAGGGGGCAAGCGUUGUCCGGAUUUAUUGGGCGUAAAGAGCGUGUAGGCGGCCAUUCAGGUCAGCUGUGAAAACUCGAGGCUCAACCUCGAGACGUCGGUUGAAACCGUUUGGCUAGAGUCCGGAAGAGGAGAGUGGAAUUCCCGGUGUAGCGGUGAAAUGCGCAGAGUAUCGGGAAGGAACACCAAUGGCGAAGGCAGCUCGCUGGGACGGUACUGACGCUGA
rnacentral:rRNA from 1 species